UGAAACUAGGAAGAAAGAUGACAUCGGCUUCUUCUCCUAGUCGAUCUCCCACUAAAAAUAACAACAAAGAGGAAAGACCAAGGUUUUUUGAUGCUAACACAAAGAGUUUAUGUUGGGCAAAAGCUGAUAUAUUAAUUGGACGUCAUCCAGAAAGAUGGAGAAAAGAUGCUGCUGGCAAUAUUGUUUGUAAACGUUUUUGCAAUUGUCAAGGUUGUUUAUGCUUUGAAUACGAUCAUAUUAUCCCUUUCUCCAAAGGUGGAGAAUCUACCGUAGAGAACUGUCAAAUUCUUCAGACUAGGGUGAAUAGGUAUAAAUCAGAUAAUGACAAGUUGGACAAAUCUGAGUUGGAGGGAUUCUCUUGUGAUAUCAAGUUUACUGACAAGGAGCUUGAUGUAGUCGAGAUGGCUGUUUACGGGGAUGUAAUCCGUCCUGGUAAUGAAUGUCGUUGCAGGACUGUCGCUGAAAUGCUUGGUCAGUACAAAUCAAAAAAUCGAAUGGCUCCUUGUCAACUUCCAUAUAAGCAGGAGACUACUAAGUAGCCAGGCAAGCACCAAAGAAAGGGGGGAUAUUUUUUGCAGAAGUAGAUCUAGAAGAACCAAACGCCAGGGGCAUGUUACUUUUCUGAAGAAUCUAAUAAACAUUACUUUAACGCGGUAGCUGACCUCCAAGACGGACGGUGAUAUCACUUUCGGGGUGAACUAGACAUACAUGAUUAUAAAAAACGAUGAUGACGAGGUAAAGUUUAGUGUUGGCUAUUGAAACUACAAGAGUUGCUUCCUAAAAUAUUAAUUUGACAUUUUCCUUUCCAAGAGUUGAUAAACAAAAGAGCCAACAUUAAAAGUUAAAACUCUUCAAAUUGGAAUAUUUAUUCAAUCAAUGUAUAUUUAUUUUUAAUCGUCAGCUGAAUUCAGAAUAUUCCUCGUGAGCA